rnacentral:rRNA from 1 species
CCUACGGGGGGCAGCAGUGGGGAAUAUUGCACAAUGGGGGAAACCCUGAUGCAGCGACGCCGCGUGAAGGAAGAAGUAUUUCGGUAUGUAAACUUCUAUCAGCAGGGAAGAAAAUGACGGUACCUGACUAAGAAGCCCCGGCUAACUACGUGCCAGCAGCCGCGGUAAUACGUAGGGGGCAAGCGUUAUCCGGAUUUACUGGGUGUAAAGGGAGCGUAGGCGGUAAUGCAAGUCAGAAGUGAAAGCCCGGGGCUCAACUCCGGGACUGCUUUUGAAACUGUGUUGCUAGAGUGCAGGAGAGGUAAGUGGAAUUCCUAGUGUAGCGGUGAAAUGCGUAGAUAUUAGGAGGAACACCAGUGGCGAAGGCGGCUUACUGGACUGUAAAUGACGCUGAGGCUCGAAAGCGUGGGGAGCAAACAGGAUUAGAUACCCGAGUAGUC